rnacentral:rRNA from 1 species
UACGUAGGGGCAAGCGUUGGUCCGGAUUUAUUGGGCGUAAAGAGCGUGUAGGCGGUUUGGUAGGUCCGCUGUGAAACUCGAGGCUCAACCUCGAGACGCCGGUGGAAACCAUCAGGCUAGAGUCCGGAAGAGGAGAGUGGAAUUCCUGGUGUAGCGGUGAAAUGACGCAGAUAUCAGGAAGAACACCCGUGGCUAAGGCGGCUCUCUAGUACGGUACUGACGCUGAGACGCGAAAGCGUGGGGAGCGAAACAGG